AGCCUUGAGUGUUAUUCAAGGUAACGCCUGCCCAGUGCGAGCUGUUAACGGCCGCAGUACCCUGACUGUGCUAAGGUAGCAUAAUCAGUUGGCUUUUAAAUGGAGUCGGGAAUGAAUGGAUUUAUAGGGUUAAGCUGUCUCUCUCAUAUUAAAUUAAAUUUAUUUAUUAGGUGAAAAUACCUAAAUUAAAGAAAAAAGACGAGAAGACCCUGGGAGUUUUAACUAAGGUCUGUUAAAGGCUACGUUUUUGUUGGGGCGACAUGAGGGAAGAUUAAACCCCUCUUUAAUUAUUUGCCGACUUUGUAUGAAAAUUUAAACUACCCCAGGGAUAACAGCGUAAUUCUUUUUGAGUUUGCGACCUUCGAUGUUGGAC
rnacentral:rRNA from 1 species